GAGCAAUGAUGAGCCUGAUGUGUACUGACAAUUGAAUACGUGGAGGUUUAUACACUUGACCUGAGCUCA